CAGCUUACUCCUUUCCAUAGGCAAUUUGCGCAAGAGUUUAGGCUCCAAAUUCAGUUUAUUGUGACAUGAGAAACUCACAGAAAUCUCUAAUCCCUUAAACAUGCAAUUAAUCACUUAAGACGAGGCCAACGAAAAAAGAGCUACAUUUGGAUGACAUUUCUAACUAUUUAGAAGCACGAGUUUGGGCCAGUUUGGUCGUCCGUUUGGAACGACCAAGGGCAAAAGAGUCAUUUUACUCUAUCAAAAAAAAAAUCUUUCUUGUACGGUUCUAUUGCUCAUUCCAUCACUUUUCAUAAUUCUAGAAUCCAGAGGAGUUAAUUCAUAAUAGAGAGAUGACUCUCUUCUCUAGAUUUUCAAUUCAAAGGUUUGCUCUUUGAGUUCUCAUCUGGAUUUUGCAGUGUUUGUAUUUUUCUUCAGAUUACUCUUUCAAUUCGCUUCAUCUUCUCAGUUGAUUGUUCUAAUUUCAGACCAUGUUGGCUGACUGCUACACACACGAUGAUGAUGAUUGGGAUCACAAGUGGUGUUAACGCUAAUAACCAAUUAAGUUUUAGAGGAUGAUCAAGGGAUGCUUCUGAUAGAUUGAUACCCAUAAAGUGUUCGAUAAAUAUAUCAGGAAAAUAUUUCCUACUUCUUCAGAGGAUAGCACAAUACCAGCAACAUAUUGAAAUAGAAGCCAUUCUUUGUGUAUGCCCCCCGCUAAGACAAGCAGAGUAACAGGCCCUUUAGUUUAGAUUUCUAAGGUGGGGCUCUAUGCAUCUGAUAGAGGUGCUUUCUUAUUUAUGAAAUACUUUUCCAGACUCCAAACUAUAACAUAUUGAGGUUUUCUUUUAUUAUCAAAUUGUAAGAGCCUGCUAUUUCAUCAAGUUUGCCUCUCAAACUAGAGUUCAUGUAACUUAUGUCCUAAUGCCUUUUGAUUUAGAUAUCUGAAAUAUCUAAAACUACGAAUUAGCAUUCGAUGCUGAUAUAUAAAUUUUUUGUAAUACUUAAUGGAUUCCUUUCUUAAAAGUGGUUUCUUUUUUUUUUUUUUUUUGGGAGGAUUAACUCCAACAUGUAUAAUGAUGAGGACAACGAGUAAUAUAUAUCUUGAUAAUGAUGAGAUUUCUACUAUAUAGAAGAGUGAACAAUGGAACGACCAAGGCGAAAAACGUAAAUUAGCUCAGUGAAAAAAAAAACUUCGUCACAUUUACACCAACACAGACCCAAUAUAUAUGUCUAGAAACAUCCAUUCAUCUGUUUCUCUCCUUCAUAUUUCUCAAGUGCCACCCUCUCAAAGAAUGGUCUUUCAGUUUUCUUAAGUCUCAAUGAACUUUUUCGGUUGGUUACAACGUCAAGUAUGUUCAUCUUUCAAUUUUUGCCCAAUUCUUAUUCAUUUUUCCCCUUCAUCUUCUUUUCAAUCCUUGGCUUUUUCGGAUCUUUUCAGAUUCCUAAGAUUGUUAUCAUUCUGUCUUUCCAUAAGUUCGUCAUUUGAACAUAGAAGCAUGGAACACUGAAACAUUGAGUGGGAAAAAAAAAUACAAAAAUAGAUGACCAAAUAAAAAAGGGAAGGCUUCGUUAUGUAUAAAAUUUAGAAGCGUGACUGAGAGUAGAUACAACAACAACAACAACAAACCCAGUAUAAUCCCACUAUGUGGGGUCUGGGGAGGGUAGAGUGUACGCAGACCUAACCCCCACCUUGAAAGGUAGGGCGGCUGUUUCCGAAAGACCCUCGGCUCAAGAGAGGAGAAAAAGAGAGGAAAAGAAGAGAGGAACGUGACUGAGAGUAGAUAAAGAUGAAAAAACAGAUGAUAGCAGUGUUUCAAUCUGGGUUGACUCCUUAGCGCAGAACGAGAAUCUCUUCACCGGAUAAUCUGGUGAUACUUUAAUAUUGUAAUUUUACAUCCAACAUUAAUGGCUAUUUAGAUAUUUUGCCUAUUAACAGUGUUUCGAAAUAUCUAGACUACUCCCCUAUCAGUCCUCUCCCUCGCAGGGUAUGAUCUAUGUUCGCCAUAAACUCAUUUGCUGACAGUGGGCGUCAAAAAACCACUAGACCAGCAAUUUCAUGGCUUUUCUCUGGUGUAUUAGGAUCUUUCUAAGGAUAAAAAGCAACCAAACUGUCAAAUUCCAGUGAUAAAAGAGGGUUCGGGGAAUGUAUCGGACUUAAGAUGGAAAUUUGUAUGCUCCGGUAACUGUGACUCAAGCAAAUGAGCCCUGCUGCUUUAUGGCUUCUUAUCUUUUUGUUUCUUUUAUUUUUAUUUUAAUUUUUCGUCGGUGAUUUAAUCUUUUUUAAAAUGAAAUAUGGUAAAGACUUGAUCUUGAUACACUAAUGAGCAGAUGGAGUUUCUCGGACGGGGAAAAGCGGCACUCGACAUCUAUUAAACAAGACCAAGAACAAAGCCAUACCAUGCCCUCGCUGUGAAUAGACAAGUGGUUGUGCAUUCUGUUUGAGCAAGCAAAUGCAAUUAUGUGAUUUUCUUACUAUGCUAUUUAAAGAGUGUUCUUCGAGGGCUAUGGAGUACUUCAAGAUCUUUUUUCUAUGUUAAACAACCAUAAUUUGUCUUACAUCUCAGGACGUUGUGGAAAGGGACCAGGAUUCUUCGAUGCCUGAUGAAACUUCUGAUCGAAGACUACAGUUUAUAUAGCAAAUGACCUUGCAAAUAACCUUCCCAAGUGGUCUAAUCAGGAUAUGGUCCAAUGAGAUAGUUUAUAAAACUGCUGACAGAUAUUCUAGGCACCAUGUUGGUUAAUUACCCUUUAAAUAACUUGUGGCUCCAGCCCUUUACAUACUUCUUCACAUCGUAAGUUAUGUCUAUCGAGUAGACUACUCUUUCCUAUUCUUUUUAGUUGGUCAUAUGCCUGUAAUUGAUUAUGUUAAAAAGCCUUUGAUAGUUCUAUGCCUGUAAUUGACUAUGUUAAAUAGCUUUUGAUAGUUUUAUUACAUUAGCGUGGAUAGCUUCUCAGAUUCUGCACAGAAUAUGUCCAUAAAAAAUAAAAUGCUCUUCCUUUUAAAUGUAUCUCGGUUUUUGAAGACAUCAGUGUGGAUGGGAUAUAACUUAAGAGAUAUAUUUGGAAGGAAGAACAUUCUAUUCUUCCAGACAUAUUUACAACGGGAUUUCCUUUUCUAAUUCAUGCUCUUAACUGCUCUGAGUUCACUUUGAGCUCGCAUUUGCAUUGACUAAUGUACAUGGACUUGCUACCUAGAUAAAUUAAAAGGGGUGACGAAUUUUCUCUCAUCUAACUGAUUUAGCAACAUAA